AGAGUUUGAUCAUGGCUCAGAACGAACGCUGGCGGCAUGCCUAACACAUGCAAGUCGAACGAAGCCUUCGGGCUUAGUGGCGCACGGGUGCGUAACGCGUGGGAAUCUGCCUUGGGUUCGGAAUAACAGUUAGAAAUGACUGCUAAUACCGAAUGAUGUCUUCGGACCAAAGAUUUAUCGCCCAAGGAUGAGCCCGCGUCGGAUUAGCUAGUUGGUGAGGUAAAGGCUCACCAAGGCGACGAUCCGUAGCUGGUCUGAGAGGAUGAUCAGCCACACUGGGACUGAGACACGGCCCAGACUCCUACGGGAGGCAGCAGUGGGGAAUAUUGGACAAUGGGCGAAAGCCUGAUCCAGCAAUGCCGCGUGAGUGAUGAAGGCCUUAGGGUUGUAAAGCUCUUUUACCCGGGAUGAUAAUGACAGUACCGGGAGAAUAAGCCCCGGCUAACUCCGUG
rnacentral:rRNA from 1 species